rnacentral:rRNA from 1 species
ACGUAGGUGGCAAGCGUUGUCCGGAAUUAUUGGGCGUAAAGCGCGCGCAGGCGGUUCCUUAAGUCUGAUGUGAAAGCCCACGGCUCAACCGUGGAGGGUCAUUGGAAACUGGGGGACUUGAGUGCAGAAGAGGAGAGCGGAAUUCCACGUGUAGCGGUGAAAUGCGUAGAAUGUGGAGGAGACACCAGUGGCGAAGGCGGCUCUCUGGUCUGUAACUGACGCUGAGGCGCGAAAGCGUGGGGAGCAAACAGGAUUAGAUACCCGGUGUC